rnacentral:lncRNA from 8 species
GAUGAAUGGCACGACAAUGGACCUCAGGAUCUCAUCACGGUAUAUCUGUGCAUUCAAAUUGCCAUUGAUAAAAUGUGGCCGUUGACAGGCUGAUAGGAUGGUCUACAGCCCACCCACUUACCCAGAUGAACAGUCAUUGGUCUAUUAUAAUCAGAUCACAUUGUGACCUCAUGAUGUGGGCCAAAAGUUCAAUCCCAUCUGAACAGGGUACCUCAUCAUUUGGAAAUAUCAUUAAACAAAACAGAAUAUCACACUCUUUACUGCACUGAAUAGAUGUUUAUUUGUGUCUGCCUUUACUUCAUACUGCCUGCUAAACACAGAUCCUAGAGCCUGGUGCCUUUUCCCCAAUGUGACAUAUACAUGAAGGAAACUGGUGUUGUCACUAUGAGAGUAACUGACAGUCAUUCUCAUACAUUAAAUUGUGACAAUGUCACAUAGAUAUGAUGUAUUUAAAUGGUAUCAGAUCAUGUUUUACAAAUGUGUCUGCUUGUGUUUGCCUGUUUUCAAAGGAACAUUGUGGUGUGUGCGCUGCAGGUGGGAAGCACGGUCACAGUCUGAGGAUGCUGCAUGUUUCGUCUAGGCACUAUUUUAAAACAUUUUCAAAGGUUCAUCUUAUUGCAAAAUACCGUCAAGAAAGAUCAUUACGGUAACAGAAGAGAAGCUCCUGGACUUGGGGAGAUCGAGGCAAAAAAGGCGGUAACUGUUGCCCACUAGUUUUCAAUUUGUAACAAAUAUACAUUUUAUUCUUUAUUCCUAUCCUUAUAUCCAUUGAUUUUUUUUAUUUAUUUUUUUAGUCAUUUUAGCAGACGCUCUUAUCCAGAGCGACUUACAGUAGUGAAUGCAUACAUUUCAUACAAUUAUAUACAUUUUUUUUUUUUUUUUUUUCCUGUGCUGGCCCCCCGUGGGAAUCGAACCCACAACCCUGGUGUUGCAAACACCAUGCUCUACCAACUGAGCUACAGGGAAGGCUAUUGAUAUGACUGGUUUGCAUAUAUUGUUAAUAGAAAUGCACCUGCCUCAUGUCCAAGACUCCUUAAAGUGUAGGGCUAUUGUAAGUACAUUUUAAACAUAUUUCUAAAGGAAAGGAUUUAUCAGCCAAUAGGCAUUACCCUAUGGACAAUACGAUGUCCUAUCUAAGGUCUGGACUUGAUUUUAUCAAUACUAAUUCUAGAUGUUGCCCUGUGUCUCAAUUUUCGGUUGGAGGAAGUGGGGUUGCUGCGGGGAAGAAGACUCCUCUUCGCUAGAGAGGGUGCAGAGCAAGAUUGAGGAGGUGGUUCU